rnacentral:misc_RNA from 1 species
GAAGUGCGAUAAGUGUCAUGACUUGCAGAUCCCCGAGAGCUGACAAAUUUCUGAAUGCAAAUGGCGGCCAACUCACCGUUGGUCAUGUAUUGCAGAGUGUAGUUGUUCAUACUCAUCAUCCUCCUGAAUUCUAUUCUGGAGGGAUCUGCGCUUGUUGGGUUCUCUCCCAUGCGAGCGUGAAACGUCAGAGUGGAUGCCUCUCUAUCUUACCAUAGAGUAGGCUCCAACUUCGGAGUUAUCUUUAGAAGUUCACCAUACUCUGUCUGUGAUCCCACCGGAUCAUAGAGCAUUUCUCCUAUUCACCUCUGCAAUGCAGGAAAACCCGCUGAACUUAA